rnacentral:rRNA from 1 species
CCUACGGGUGGCAGCAGUGAGGAAUAUUGGUCAAUGGACGAGAGUCUGAACCAGCCAAGUAGCGUGAAGGAUGACUGCCCUAUGGGUUGUAAACUUCUUUUAUAUGGGAAUAAAAUGUUCCACGUGUGGGAUUUUGUAUGUACCAUAUGAAUAAGGAUCGGCGAACUCCGUGCCAGCAGCCGCGGUAAUACGGAGGAUCCGAGCGUUAUCCGGAUUUAUUGGGUUUAAAGGGAGCGUAGGUGGAUUGUUAAGUCAGUUGUGAAAGUUUGCGGCUCAACCGUAAAAUUGCAGUUGAAACUGGCAGUCUUGAGUACAGUAGAGGUGGGCGGAAUUCGUGGUGUAGCGGUGAAAUGCUUAGAUAUCACGAAGAACUCCGAUUGCGAAGGCAGUUCACUGGACUGCAACUGACACUGAGGCUCGAAAGUGUGGGUAUCAAACAGGAUUAGAUACCCGUGUAGUC